rnacentral:rRNA from 1 species
UUUAACUGAAGAGUUUGAUCAUGGCUCAGAUUGAACGCUGGCGGCAGGCUUAACACAUGCAAGUCGAGCGGGGGAAGGUAGCUUGCUACCGGACCUAGCGGCGGACGGGUGAGUAAUGCUUAGGAAUCUGCCUAUUAGUGGGGGACAACAUCUCGAAAGGGAUGCUAAUACCGCAUACGUCCUACGGGAGAAAGCAGGGGAUCUUCGGACCUUGCGCUAAUAGAUGAGCCUAAGUCGGAUUAGCUAGUUGGUGGGGUAAAGGCCUACCAAGGCGACGAUCUGUAGCGGGUCUGAGAGGAUGAUCCGCCACACUGGGACUGAGACACGGCCCAGACUCCUACGGGAGGCAGCAGUGGGGAAUAUUGGACAAUGGGGGGAACCCUGAUCCAGCCAUGCCGCGUGUGUGAAGAAGGCCUUAUGGUUGUAAAGCACUUUAAGCGAGGAGGAGGCUACUUUAGUUAAUACCUAGAGAUAGUGGACGUUACUCGCAGAAUAAGCACCGGCUAACUCUGUGCCAGCAGCCGCGGUAAUACAGAGGGUGCGAGCGUUAAUCGGAUUUACUGGGCGUAAAGCGUGCGUAGGCGGCUUAUUAAGUCGGAUGUGAAAUCCCCGAGCUUAACUUGGGAAUUGCAUUCGAUACUGGUGAGCUAGAGUAUGGGAGAGGAUGGUAGAAUUCCAGGUGUAGCGGUGAAAUGCGUAGAGAUCUGGAGGAAUACCGAUGGCGAAGGCAGCCAUCUGGCCUAAUACUGACGCUGAGGUACGAAAGCAUGGGGAGCAAACAGGAUUAGAUACCCUGGUAGUCCAUGCCGUAAACGAUGUCUACUAGCCGUUGGGGCCUUUGAGGCUUUAGUGGCGCAGCUAACGCGAUAAGUAGACCGCCUGGGGAGUACGGUCGCAAGACUAAAACUCAAAUGAAUUGACGGGGGCCCGCACAAGCGGUGGAGCAUGUGGUUUAAUUCGAUGCAACGCGAAGAACCUUACCUGGCCUUGACAUACUAGAAACUUUCCAGAGAUGGAUUGGUGCCUUCGGGAAUCUAGAUACAGGUGCUGCAUGGCUGUCGUCAGCUCGUGUCGUGAGAUGUUGGGUUAAGUCCCGCAACGAGCGCAACCCUUUUCCUUACUUGCCAGCAUUUCGGAUGGGAACUUUAAGGAUACUGCCAGUGACAAACUGGAGGAAGGCGGGGACGACGUCAAGUCAUCAUGGCCCUUACGGCCAGGGCUACACACGUGCUACAAUGGUCGGUACAAAGGGUUGCUACACAGCGAUGUGAUGCUAAUCUCAAAAAGCCGAUCGUAGUCCGGAUUGGAGUCUGCAACUCGACUCCAUGAAGUC